UGGGGAAUGUUGGACAAUGGGCGCAAGCCUGAUCCAGCCAUGCCGCGUGAGUGAUGAAGGCCCUAGGGUUGUAAAGCUCUUUUGUGCGGGAAGAUAAUGACGGUACSGCAAGAAUAAGCCCCGGCUAACUUCGUGCCAGCAGCCGCGGUAAUACGAAGGGACCUAGCGUAGUUCGGAAUUACUGGGCGUAAAGCGCGCGUAGGCCGUUGAGUUAGUUAAUUGUGAAAUCCCAAAGCUUAACUUUGGAACUGCAAUUAAAACUGCUCGACUAGAGUUUGAUAGAGGAAAGCGGAAUACAUAGUGUAGAGGUGAAAUUCGUAGAUAUUAUGUAGAACACCAGUUGCGAAGGCGGCUUUCUGGAUCAACACUGACGCUGAGGCGCGAAAGUAUGGGUAGCAAAGAGGAUUAGAUACCCUCGUAGUCCAUACCAUAAACGAUGAUUGCUAGAUGUUGGAAAUUUAUUUUCAGUAUCGCAGCUAACGCAUUAAGCAAUCCGCCUGGGGAGUACGACCGCAAGGUUA
rnacentral:rRNA from 1 species